GACCCCUGGUAUAGAGCUUCUGCUCAAGAUGGCACAGUAGGUACCAGACUGUGAGAAUACUUAUCAGCCUUAUGGAGAGGCCCAUGUGAUAAGGAACUGACAACCUCUUGUCAACACCACGGGAAUGAAACAUCUUGGAAUUGGAUCCUUGAGCCCCAAUCCUUGAGUCAACUGGGGCUGCAUCUCUGGCUGACAUGUCUGCAACCUCAUGAGAAAUCCUGCGCCAAAACUAACUAGCUUAAGCCAGUCUCUAAUUCCCAACCCACAGAAACUGUGAGAUAAUAAAUAUUUGUUGUUUUAAGCCA